rnacentral:rRNA from 1 species
UACGUAGGGUGCAAGCGUUGUCCGGAAUUAUUGGGCGUAAAGAGCUCGUAGGUGGUUUGUCGCGUUGUUCGUGAAAACUCACAGCUCAACUGUGGGCGUGCGGGCGAUACGGGCAGACUAGAGUACUGCAGGGGAGACUGGAAUUCCUGGUGUAGCGGUGAAAUGCGCAGAUAUCAGGAAGAACACCCGUGGCUAAGGCGGCUCUCUAGUACGGUACUGACGCUGAGACGCGAAAGCGUGGGGAGCGAACAGG